CCUUUGGAGUGUUAGACCACUUGAGUAGCAAUUAUGCGAAAAAGAACAUGAUGAAGAAGGAA
rnacentral:ncRNA from 1 species